rnacentral:misc_RNA from 1 species
AAAAUGCGAUACUUGGUGUGAAUUGCAGAAUCCCGUGAACCAUCGAGUUUUUGAACGCAAGUUGCGCCCGAAGCCAUCCGGCUGAGGGCACGCCUGCCUGGGCGUCACGCAUCGCGUCGCUCCCCACCCUACCUCCCCAACGGGUUGGCAUGGUGUUGGGGGCGGAUAAUGGCCUCCCGUGCUUGUGUUUCGGUUGGCCUAAAUAAGAGUUCCCUUCGGCGGACACACGACUAGUGGUGGUUGAAUAGACCCUCGUCUUUUGUUGCGUGUCGUGAGCUGUAAGGGUAGCCCUCAUCAAAGACCCCAUUGUAUCGUCUUCGGAUGAUGCUUCGACCGCGACCCCAGGUCAGGCGGGACUACCCGCUGAGUUUAAGC